UGGGGAAUAUUGCGCAAUGGGCGAAAGCCUGACGCAGCGACGCCGCGUGAGGGAUGAAGGUUUUCGGAUCGUAAACCUCUGUCAGAAGGGAAGAAACCGCACUGUGCUAAUCAGCAGUGCCUUGACGGUACCUUCAAAGGAAGCACCGGCUAACUCCGUGCCAGCAGCCGCGGUAAUACGGAGGGUGCAAGCGUUAAUCGGAAUUACUGGGCGUAAAGCGCACGUAGGCUGCUUUGUAAGUCAGGGGUGAAAUCCCACGGCUCAACCGUGGAACUGCCGUUGAUACUGCUUAGCUUGAAUGCGGGAGAGGGUGGCGGAAUUCCAGGUGUAGGAGUGAAAUCCGUAGAUAUCUGGAGGAACAUCAGUGGCGAAGGCGGCCACCUGGACCGGUAUUGACGCUGAGGUGCGAAAGCGUGGGGAGCAAACAGG
rnacentral:rRNA from 1 species